rnacentral:rRNA from 1 species
AUUGAACGCUGGCGGCAGGCCUAACACAUGCAAGUCGAGCGAGCGGCGGACGGGAGAGUAAGGUAUGGGGAUCUGCCCGAUAGAGGGGGAUAACUACUGGACACGGUUGCUAAUACCGCAUACUAGAGGAUGUACCCAUAUGGGAUUAGCUAGUAGGUGGGGUAAAGGCUCACCUAGGCGACGAUCUCUAGCUGGUCUGAGAGGAUGAUCGGCCACACUGGGACUGAGACACGGCCCAGACUCCUACGGGAGGCAGCAGUGGGGAAUAUUGCACAAUUGGCGGAAGCCUGAUGCAGCCAUGCCGCGUGUAUGAAGAAGGCCUUCGGGUUGUAAAGUACUGUUGGCGGGGAGGCGUUACCCACAGAAGAAGCAACGGCUAACUCCGUGCCAGCAGCCGCGGUAAUAC